rnacentral:lncRNA from 1 species
CUCCACCAUGUAGACCACAGACAGGGUACAGACAGGAUCUCAGAUCUGGUGUCUUAAAACAAUUUCUUUUAAACCUGGAAAUGUUUCUCUUCAAACCCCUUCUAGACCUAAGAUUCAGGAAUGCUCUAGAUAGUUUCCUUAGAAUCCUGUGUGGUUAGUAGCUGGCCCUUCCUAAUGACCACUAGGCGUCAGAGUUUCCCACCUCUCCUCCAACGGUGCUGCUUACUCAGUAAUUAACUCAUUUGCUUGGAGUCAUUAGCCCUUAUCUAAGGGGACUUCUUUGUCAUCAUGUGAACAUGGCCAUUCAUGAUGCAGAAUCCUAGCAGACUGCAACAGGACUGAUUAAGUUUGUCUGUCUCCGAGUUACAGCUUUUCAACAGCGUUCUUCAUUGCAAAGACCAAGCCUUAAACCUAGGGGAAAGCAGAUGAAAGACCAAUAACCAUGCCCUUCACCUUUCCUGAGCGAAGCCACAGAAUGCUACUUCCUGUCACUGCACUGCACAGAUAUCGUACCCUCAUUGCUAAUGGGGUGCUGGUGUGUGCAGCUCUGAGCACUCUCCCUCAUUCAACUUAAGGACAAUGCAGUACUAAUGCAGUUAACAACAGGCUCUGAAUUCUGUAUGUCAGCACUUUGGGAAGCCAAAGCAAUGGAUCACUUGAGCCCAGAAGUUCGAGACCAGCCUGGGCAACAUGGCAAAACCCCAUCUCUACAAAAAAAAUACAAAAAUUAGCUGAUCAUGGUGGUGAGCACCUGGAGUCCCGGCUAUUUGGGAGGCUGAGGCAGGAGAAUUGCUUCAGCCCAAGAAAUCGAUGCUGCAGUGAGCCGUGAACACACCACUGUACUCCAGACUGGGCGACAGUGUGAGACAAAUAAAUAAACAAACAAACAAAUCUCAAAUAAAAAAUAUAGAUUUUGGAUGAUGGAGUGCUUUCUUACUGCUGGGACAAGCGGGAAGACUUUGUGGAAGAGGGGCACAGGAACUCAGCUGUGACUUCAGAAGGUGGAAAAGGAGAUGGGAAAUUAGGUUUAUGGCAGGGACAGUAUACUUUUUAUUUGAAAAUUGUAAGUACCUCUGUUUGAUGACAGUGUGGAGUAAAAGUGGGCUGUAAGCUGACAUGAUCCUAGAAAAGGAAGUUGGGAAUUUAUUGGAAAGACUCUUAAGUGCCAGACUCUGGAAACUGGAUGUGAGUUAGUAGUCAACGAUAUCACUGAAGGUUCU